UUCACGCCCAUGCGUUGGACCUUGGAUUCUGACGAAGGAAAUGGCGAGCCACUGUGGAGCCUCAUCAGCCCUCAUUCCUGAGGAGGAAAUCAUCUCUUCCUUCACUCCGCCAUUGUGCUGACACCAUUAUGGUAGGACUGAUCGAACACCGCGGGUGGAAUAUUGACGGUCUCAUCUCCAGCUUGGGAGAUGGUUUCUAUAGAAAAGCUCAGGGCUAUGUGAUGCUCUUCAUCAAAGGUGAUGGCGUAAACUCACAGGCUGCAGGUCGUUCAUGCUGAUCGGAAGCUCUCUCAGAAUCAGCAGCAGGUCGAGCUGCGUGUUCAGGCAGGGGAUGUUGCACAUCUGUAGCAGGGACAAGAGAAAGGCAGUGUGGGCUGAUCCUGCUGUUCAUCUGUUGCCCCUUCUGCAACCUUUGGCUAACCACACACAGGCCAGAGAUCUGCCAGGCAUGCUGGGAGGUGAUAACUAGAUGAAUGGAAUGAGCUUGUCAUGACACCCACAGUGUGUGAAUGAGGAGGCAGGUGAAUGUCGACUCAACAUGCCCUUCCUAAAGAAAGUGCUACAUGAGCUGCGUUAGAUUCAGCUUGGUUCAUGCUGUCACAAGCAAAAUUCAAAGGAAAUUACCAUCUUAAUUCUGGUAAUCAUAAUUCUAGUGAAUGUGGGGAACUAAAAAGCAUACCUCCAGCAUGUAUUGAUCCACAAUAUGCAGCUCUGUCACAGGUCCCUUGUGAGAUUUGUACAUUUCCACAUCAUCCAACGUGGGGACGUACCUUGAACAUUAAAAAACAAACAACAAUAUCACUGUUGUUGUAAGAUGCCAUAGUAGUGUUGUUUUUUUUUAUUUAAACAAUAAAAAAAUCGAUAUAAUAGCAAUGACUCCUCUACUCAAACAACGGCUCCCUUUCAAAAGUCUGUGCUCUCGGUGCGACAAUAUCACAGCGUCGUGUUCCGUUUAACGUUAUCUUAUCUUUAAUAUCACAAUCCAAAUCUCAUCCAUAAUGUUAACUACUCUUAUGAAGUGCAGAGAAAUGUUUUGGUGAGCUUAUAUGGAGAACGGAGAUGGGGGGGUGUCAGAUUCAUGGAAAAGAGAUGGAAAACUGCUUUGUAAUUUAAGGAUUUAAAAAUCACUCGUUGCUCGUGCCGAUUAACGGGGCUCAGCGGGCGGACAUGGCGCUCCAUCAGAAACGUCUCUAAGUGCACAGUAGGACCAACUAUUUUAUAACAUUUUAGUUCUGAUAGUAAGUUAGUCAAAUCGCCUUAAUAUCAGCGAGGAAAAACCA